rnacentral:rRNA from 1 species
CCUACGGGUGGCAGCAGUGAGGAAUAUUGGUCAAUGGGCGAGAGCCUGAACCAGCCAAGUCGCGUGAAGGAUGACGGCCCUACGGGUUGUAAACUUCUUUUGUCAGGGAGCAAUUGAGUCCACGUGUGGGAUUUUGUAUGUACCAUAUGAAUAAGGAUCGGCUAACUCCGUGCCAGCAGCCGCGGUAAUACGGAGGAUCCGAGCGUUAUCCGGAUUUAUUGGGUUUAAAGGGAGCGUAGGUGGAUUGUUAAGUCAGUUGUGAAAGUUUGCGGCUCAACCGUAAAAUUGCAGUUGAAACUGGCAGUCUUGAGUACAGUAGAGGUGGGCGGAAUUCGUGGUGUAGCGGUGAAAUGCUUAGAUAUCACGAAGAACUCCGAUUGCGAAGGCAGUUCACUGGACUGCAACUGACACUGAGGCUCGAAAGUGUGGGUAUCAAACAGGAUUAGAUACCCGGGUAGUC